rfam:Homo sapiens chromosome 2, GRCh38 reference primary assembly.
GCUGGUUAUGGUGGUACACACCUGUAAUCCUAGCUACUUGGGAGGCUGAGGCAGGAGGAUUGCUUGAGCCCAGGAGUUCAAGGCUGCAAUGCACUAUAAUUGAGCCACUGCACUCCAGCCUGGGCAACAGAGUGAGACCCUGUCUCUU